UUGCACGCUGGCGGCAGGCCUAACACCUGCAAGUCGAACGGUAACAGGAAACAGCUUGCUGUUUCGCUGACGAGUGGCGGACGGGUGAGUAAUGUCUGGGAAACUGCCUGAUGGAGGGGGAUAACUACUGGAAACGGUAGCUAAUACCGCAUAACGUCGCAAGACCAAAGAGGGGGACCCUCGGGCCUCUUGCCAUCGGAUGUGCCCAGAUGGGAUUAGCUUGUUGGUGGGGUAACGGCUCACCAAGGCGACGAUCCCUAGCUGGUCUGAGAGGAUGACCAGCCACACUGGAACUGAGACACGGUCCAGACUCCUACGGGAGGCAGCAGUGGGGAAUAUUGCACAAUGGGCGCAAGCCUGAUGCAGCCAUGCCGCGUGUAUGAAGAAGGCCUUCGGGUUGUAAAGUACUUUCAGCGGGGAGGAAGGGAGUAAAGUUAAUACCUUUGCUCAUUGACGUUACCCGCAGAAGAAGCACCGGCUAACUCCGUG
rnacentral:rRNA from 1 species